AAAUCCAUGCUGACACUGUAUUUACAGCCUCGGAGUCAAUACAUACCACUACACAGCACUUCCUACAGUUCUGCAAGCUACUUGCUACUUUUCGGACAAGUCUUCCCCCCGGGCGAUUCAUCAAAAUGCAGCCAUGUCUGUCACCAGGGCAGCUGACCCCAUUGUCCAGCUUAUACAGACAAGCCUUGGAGGGAACUCCUGUUCUAUUCAUGAAAUCCACCACACACACACACUGAGGAAACUGAACACCUACCAGCCUUCAAGAAAUGUUCACAGGCCAGAAUAGAGGUGCGCAUCAGGACCGGGAUCCCACAUGACGCAGCAGCAAAUUGGUGUGAGCGGAAGGUUAAUACUUUUUGUUGCCGGUGGAAAUGAACGAGAUCUGCAGCUUGUGAGACAAAAAGAGUUUGUGUUAAUGUAAUAAAUGAUGC